AAGUGUAUCCAAAAGAAGGAGGAAACACAGAGGAGCAGGGGGUUCAUCUGGAGGUGUUACAGCGGGAGUCGGCGGUAGUAGGAGUCUGGGUGGCCGUGAAUCGACGAGGAAUGAUGAGUGUCUGAGCGCCAUGGACCAGGAGGAGACUGCGAUCGACGCAGGGGCGGCCAGAAACUACAGGAGAGGGCCAGAAACCAUGACAACGGAGAACGGACUGCAGGGCGAUACAGAGAUGACGGUGCUCACGAAGGCCUGAAGAUGGAACUCGACAAGAUUCUGGAAAUUUUCAUCUGAGAGUAACAGCAGUUAUGGAGGAAACAGCUUCCUGAGAAGACUAAUAUUUGUGAAUUAUCAACAUAAAACUUUUAUGUUUUACAAAAUAUGUAAAAAAAAGGCGUCAUGGAAUUCCUUUGUCUACAGGAAAGUUCUAUGAAAGUUAAUUGAUUCACUGAAUCACGAGUAAAUUCAAUGUCAUAUCAGGCGAAGUAUAACUUCAAAGCUUGACUAAUGCAGCCUUCGAAACCCACGAGCCCCCCUGACGAUAUAUGGAAUGUUAACAAAACAAUCCGACGGAUGGGUUUGGUUGGCUGCUUUAUGGUAAGAACUGUUUGUGUAUGUAAUACAUUUACUUUUUAUUGUCUUCGUCAACGAAUAGUUAAAUGGCGACUACGUCACGAAUGUAAUGUAUAAUCCAUUGCAAUUUAUCACAGAUAUCAUUUGGGUUUAAAAUAUUUCUAGUCAGAACGAAGUUAUGUUUGAUGUACCCUAGAUGCAAAACAUUACUAUAGUAAAGGUUGUCAUAUGCUAUAUGAAUGUGUAUUGAACCAUCCAUAUUAUGUAUGAAUAAUAAAGACAUGGUGACUGUAUUAACAGCUGUAAACCUUUACGAGGAGUCAAAGUGGUUUACGUAUUCGAUAGUAGAUUAUCUUGCGUACACGAAAAUUUUAUGGUAGACUAAAUUUUUUAAUAAUGAAAUGUUUUGCUUAGAUAUUUUUAAGAGGAAACAUGCAGUAUGUAUAUGUUCAUAUAAUUUUUAAAAGUCGUGGAACUAAAGUAAACCCGCUAAGAAAGGUUCUGAAUAACUAGGCGCAAAGUAGUUACUUUUCCAAACUGGUUAAUUGUUACUAAUAUGUUGUUUUUUUUGGUAAAGAACAGUGAUUUUGCUAGAUAUUUUAUCCCUGAAGCAGAUACGAGUUUGCCCAAAAUUGACAGGUUGAGUUUGAGAUUCUCGAGCUUGAGUCCGCACUUAAAGAAAUAUUCUUUAUUAUAAAUUAACACAUUUCUGUUAUGUCAGAUCGAAAUCCGCUGUUUAAAAAAAAAAUCGUGCGUUUAAUGUAUAACUCUGCAAUGUUAUAAAGUUAUAUAAAUCAAAGUUACAUCUUUUUUUAUAAGAUGUAAGUUACUUUUAAUUUCCAACAUAUUAUGCAGAUAUAUUAACUUUUAUGUAUGAUAUAAUUUUUUUUGAAAAUUUAAACUUUCAUUAUGUGAAAUUUAGGAAUUUAUUUAAUAUUAGAAUAUGAUGGCUUGUGCUUUUGAUGUAACUCAAGAAUGAUGUACUUGUAACUGUCUGAACAUGAACCCAAAAGAAAAUUUA